GUUAUUCCUCGCUGGUUAUAUAAGGGAGCCCCCGUGCUCGCUCGUUCUUUCUCUCCUGGGGUGCUUGUUGCGUGUGGGAGGUUUGUGCUUAUCAGGAUGUCUUCCCACCCUGGUAACCACGUUUGGUAUUUGGUUAAUGCGAUUGGAUACAGAAUGGAUGUGGGAAGAGGGGCUCACCUCUGGGCUUCCAUGGGAACCCCACUUAGACGUAUACAGCCUUAUGUCUCCGGAGCUCUGGGGGUCUGGCUACAUGUUCCUUAGGCUAAUACUGGAACUCCUGGGCUCAAGCAGUCCUUGCAAUGCCUUGGCCUCCCAAGUGGCAGUGAUUGGAGGUUUGCUAUUAGAAACCAGGCUUUGAAUGAACCAGGAUGAAGUUCAGAAUUGUGAUAAGUGGUGUCCACGUUUCUUCCUCAACUUAAUGAACAUUAAGAAGGAGCCGUGGGUGCCACUAAGUUGAUGUCAGUCUGAUGUCUCUCUUUGCAACAUCCUGCAACAGAAGUUGCUCAGCCAUGGAGUUGGAGUAGAAGUCCUCUUGAAAGAAAAACCCUGUUUCCAGCUGAACCAGUCCCACGAGGCUAUUGUGUACUGAGGCUGAGGGCUAUCCAUAGUUAAAGGCUGUACCCAUUUCUUUAAAAAAUCAAAAAUUAAAUUUCCUACUUUGUGACCUUCCUACCUGGAAAUUAAAACUUGUUAUUUUGUCAUGGGAGGUAGAUCUUCAACAGAGAUAAUAAGUAGCAGACACAGUUCUUCACAUGUAACACACUGUCCAUCAACCCUCUGAAGCAGGUUGUAUUAUGAACCCCACAUUUGAUGACUGAAGGACAGCUCAGAAGUAACGUGACUUGUCUGAGGUCACACAGCUGCUUAUCUCUACCUUCUGUUUCUCCUGGAGUUCGCCUGCCUCACUCCUAAUUGUGGCUACACAAUUGCCAGAGAGGAUGGCGCCCACUUUCCCCCAGCACCUGCGGCUGCAGCCUCUGUCUGCAGGGGGCACUGCGGGCACACAUUUUUUCAACAUGUGUCCGGAAGCUUCCAUCCCCAGCCAGCAAAAGGUAAAGUUGCCCUGGCCAGGGCCUUGCAGAUGGAAGAGCUUUUCAGACCUGGCAGCCAGCACUUCUAGGAUGUUCUGCAGUGAUGGAGCUGGAUCCCCAGGCUGCGACUGUGUGACUCCAGGUCCAUCUUGCAACCCAUUAACAAAUCGGUAAUCAAUUGUCAUUGUUCCAAGUUCCCUUCUGUUUCAUUGCUUUCAUAGCAGGGCGGCUACUACCAGCUACUACUCCCUGAAGUGUUGGCAACCGAUUUUGAUUUUAUAAACUAACAACUCCGCAACUCACGUGAACAGGCCUUCUGGCACUGAGGCCGCCGGUUUGGACUUUUGCAACUGUGUCCCUGUGGCACUGUCCUGUCGCUCCUGGGCUGGGAGGCUGGGUGAAAGGUGGGGUACCCAAUUGGAUGUGAAUGUCAGAUAAACCACAAAUAAUAUUUUAGUGUUUAUGUCCCAGGCAAUAUUUGGGAUGUAGUAAAAAAUUGCUUGUUGUUUAUAUAAUAUUCUAACUUAAUGAGACAUUGUGUAUUUUUAUUUGCAAAACCUGGCAACCUCUGUCUCAGGGCACCUGGCUUGGGACGGUGGCACCUGUUCUUUAAGAUGCAGCUCCAUGGACCUGGUACCUUCCGAGUAACUUUCAUAUAAUUUAUCAACUUGAUUUCCGCCCCCCCCCCAAGGUUAUCUGGGGGCAUUGGGUGUGGAGUUGCCCAAUAGCAAGUCUCCAAACUGGCUUCACAGCCUGGGUGGGUGGACUUGGCAGGCGGGGUGGCCAACCUGACAGGUUCUCUCAUCCCUCCUUCCAUGGUCCUGAUAGUAGUUGAUUACAAUUCUGUUUAGAAGGCGUCUUAGUCCAGCUUACGUUGCAAUAACAAAAUCCCUUUGACUGGAUGAUUUAAAAGGAAAGUUUAUUUUGAUUCCCUGUUCUGGAGGCUGGGAAGCCUAAGAGCGUGAAGCUGGCAAGGGCCUCAUGCUGCUUCAACUAAAGGCGGAAAACAGAAAAGUAAGUGCACCUGUGCACAGGAGGUGAGUAUGAGGGGCAGCUUCACAUUGUAGGAACUGCUCUCAGGAUGAUAACUACUCCAGUUGCACGAGAAUAACCCAGGCCUGAGAGAGAGGCAUGCUUCUUAGUGACCUAAUCAUUCUUAAAGGUCC